rnacentral:rRNA from 1 species
GACGAACGCUGGCGGCGUGCUUAACACAUGCAAGUCGAACGGAAAGGCCCUGCUUUUGUGGGUUGCUCGAGUGGCGAACGGGUGAGUAACACGUGAGUAACCUGCCCUUGACUUUGGGAUAACUUCAGGAAACUGGGGCUAAUACCGGAUAGGAGCUCCUGCUGCAUGGUGGGGGUUGGAAAGUUUCGGCGGUUGGGGAUGGACUCGCGGCUAAUCAGCUUGUUGGUGGGGUAGUGGCUUACCAAGGCUGUGACGGGUAGCCGGCCUGAGAGGGUGACCGGCCACAUUAGGACUGAGAUACGGCCCAGACUCCUACGGGAGGCAGCGGUGGGGAAUAUUGCACAGUGGGCGGAAGCCUGAGGCAGCAACGCCGCGUGCGGAAUGACGGCCUUCGGGUUGUAAACCGCUUUCGCCUGUGACGAAGCGUGAGUGACGGUAAUGGGUAAAGAAGCACCGGCUAACUACGUG